ACAUUGGGAAUGAUCCGAAGCCCACUGAAGUCAAUACCAGUCUUUCCACUGAUGCCAAUGAGCUUUGGAUCAGAUCCACGGCGU
rnacentral:pre_miRNA from 7 species